UUCGUUAACCACUGCACCACGACGGGAACUCCUGGUUUUGCCUGCUAGUAACACAGAACCCCGUCCCCGUGGUUUUAAACAAAUUCGGGAUUUAUUCUUUCUUGUAAAAGAAAUCUGGGAAAGGAAAUCCAGAGCCUUUAUCGCAGCCAACAAGUCGCCAUUUAGAGACACAGCCUACUACUUUCUGCAUUGACGUCCACAGCACCUAGCUUUGCAUUUCACAAUAAGAGAGCCGCCAUCUGUCUGCUUUUCUUUGAAGGAACUUUCCUAGAUGUUUCCUCAAGUAAAUUUACUUUACAUGCUACUGGCCAGAACUUCGCAGCAAGGGAGGUUGAGAAAUAAAAGCUUUAGGCUGGCCAUUUACAAUCCCACAUCCACCACCCUCGCCAAAUCACAGUUUCGUUAUGAAGGAAGACAGGGGAAAACAGACUGAGCAGGCAACUAGCAGUCCUGUCUUUUCAUGAAAACAAAUGUUAAUGAAGGUAUUUUUCUACUUAAGAUUCUUUGGAGAGAAGCUCUUUGUAAUACCUGCUCAUACAAGAAAGUAGAAGCAGGCCUAUGAAAUACUCUAUUCUGCAUAUUUGUGCACACGCACGUGCGCACGUGCACGCAUGCGCCCUGCGGGCUAAGACCCUUGAAGCUGAUUGAAGAGCUGAGGAUAAGACUCCAGCAUGGCGUCCGCCUCCCUCGGGCCCAGGCAUCUGUCCCCUCACGCGGCAUUCUACCUGCCAGCAGCAUACACCUCUGAGGGAGAGAGGGAACCCUUCUGCUCCCACUGCUCUGUUUCAGUCUUUGAGAAAAAUGAACAAAGAACCUGGCCCUGCCUUCCGGAUUUGCUGCGCUCAACCGUUCCUUGGAGCUAGCUACCUGAGCCUUUCUGGAAAUCCUUGGUGAAUGUUUCCUGACAGAGCUUGCUGGGGGUGGCCCAGGGAACUCAUUCUCCUUGUCUUUGACCUGGUUUCAUCAAGGGAUGCUAACUGUGAAGUGAUAAAGAUAUCAAAGUCUUUUCAAGUCCACUGCUCCAAUGCUGUGCACUAGUUCAUAUGCAACAACCAGAAGGGGAAAACCCAGAUCAUUUCCAAGUUGAUGGGAAGUAAUUUAUUUAGAAGAUUGAACUUAAAUAAAAUUAAGUCCACAACUCUACAGUUGAAAAAGUUGGUAGUUCAGUUGAUUUUUCCUAGGAUAUUUAGCACAUUUUCAAUAUUAUAAAGAAAACCUGAAAAAAAACUUUGGGAAUUCUGGGGCCAGGGUGUGUCGGGGGAGUGCGGUGUGUGGGGAGGAAUUGGGUGGGGGAAUGCAUUCAGAUGCACUGCAUUAUAUUAUGCUUUUUCUGUUAAAAUAAUAGUUUUUUGUGGUAGUUACUCAACAAAUGUAAUAUUCACAUACACAUAUAAAUCAAGUUAAAAAUGAGGGUAACUGAUUUCAAAAUUACUAAUUCAGAAAAGUUUUUUUAAUCAAAAUGAUAAACAGGAGAGCUUACAGACAAAAAGUAUAAAUUUACAUGGAUCUCUAAAGUUAUUGUGUAGUAGAUUCUAGUAAAACCUCAUUUCUGAGUUUCUGGAACAUGUAUUUUAUAAAUUCAAAUGGCAAAUAGAAAUCAGAGAUCAUUUAGAAUUAGAUGUACAUUAUACAAUUAGUAACUUUAAAUAAAUUUCUCAUUUCUUAAAGUGUUAUAAAUUAUAGACCAGAAUUUAAAAUAAUAUUUUUAUUUUAGUGAAAACAUUUACAGAUAUUUGAUAUAAAAUGUUCACACACAGAAUAUAUCUCUUAUGUGACACUAAGAAAACUUUUAAGGUAAGCUACAACAUCAUAUCUAGAGAUAAUUCCAUGAAUUCCAAUUUUUUAAAAACUCUAAGAUGAUUUGCAGCUUUAGAAUACUGGAGAUGCGGUGUGAAAAUAUGGGCACAAAUCCUGAAUGCCAUGUUUUCAUUCAUCGAAUACUCCUAAACAAAGGAGUCGGAAUUGGGUUCACAGUUUAUAAACUUUGCGCAAAUUUUGUUAUGAUAACCUGUUACCCACAGAGGAAGUUAUCUAUAAACAAAACAAUCUGGUGUUUACUAAUUUUAUGCAAUCCAUUGUAAAACUUCCUGAUCUCAAGUUUUAACCAACUUGGAGUUAAUGUGAUCCAUAACCAGGGAGAGUGACCAAUGAUAAAUUAACAGUAUCAGAGUAAGCACAUGACAUAAAGAGAGGUAGCACUCAGUAUUAACAUAUGUAAUUAAAUAAAGUUUCAUUGUUGUAGACAUUGCCCAAGUGAUCUGGUAAUCUAAAUCAUGGAGCUUCUAAUCCAUCUGUGGUGGUUGUCAAAUCCAGUAAUUAAAAAUGCAACCCAGUGUAGAAAGACAUUUUUUCUGUUAAUUUAAAAGAUACUAUAGCUUAAUAUUUUUAAACAAAUUAUUUACUCAAAUUCUUAGAAUCAUUUGCUGUUUCCUAGGACUAUUUAUUGACAGUUAUUUCUGAAUUACAUAAAUGUGUUAAUUGCCAGCAAGUAAAUCUUGUUUUAAAAAACACUGACAAGUGUGAGCAAUUAUCAAAAUGGAGGAUUCCCAUUUGUUCCUCAUUUAAAGUCUAAUUGGUGAUUUGUAAUAAUCCAGUAUUGUAUAUAAAUACAAAAUCCAGCAAUUUGCUUUCUUAAGUCUAUAAGGUAUAGGAUAUUGUAGAUAAUUUUACACAUUAUCUGAACAGAAUUUUGUUCAGAAAUUGGAUUUCAUUUUAGAAGAUAUGCUUCUAAGGACAAAGUAUAUUUUAUGAAUUAUCUAGAGCAUAAAAACCACAAUUAUUCAUUUUUAGUUUUUAAGAAAAAUUAUUAUAAUUCAGUGCAAAAUAUUUGCCAAUGGAAAUGCAACAGUUUUUAUUUACCUAACUUGUUACUUCACACUGCAGUAUAGAAUUAAUUUUAUAAAGGCAAAAUUUUGAUGUACUAUGAAAUUAGCAACACGGUUUAAUUCAAAAAGUCAAAAAAGAUUUAUAGAAUAAUAUUUUCAAUUCCAACAGAAUUUUGUUGGGUUUUAAUUUUUCC